CCUACGGGUGGCAGCAGUGGGGAAUAUUGGACAAUGGGGGGAACCCUGAUCCAGCCAUGCCGCGUGUGUGAAGAAGGCCCUCGGGUUGUAAAGCACUUUCAGUGAGGAAGAACGCCUGGUGGUUAAUACCCAUCAGGAAAGACAUCACUCACAGAAGAAGCACCGGCUAACUCCGUGCCAGCAGCCGCGGUAAUACGGAGGGUGCGAGCGUUAAUCGGAAUUACUGGGCGUAAAGCGCGCGUAGGUGGCUUGAUAAGCCGGUUGUGAAAGCCCCGGGCUCAACCUGGGAACGGCAUCCGGAACUGUCAAGCUAGAGUGCAGGAGAGGAAGGUAGAAUUGCCGGUGUAGCGGUGAAAUGCGUAGAGAUCGGGAGGAAUACCAGUGGCGAAGGCGGCCUUCUGGACUGACACUGACACUGAGGUGCGAAAGCGUGGGUAGCAAACAGGAUUAGAUACCCUGGUAGUC
rnacentral:rRNA from 1 species